AGCCUCUCUCCCCGCCCUCGCUGCCUCACCCCCCCCACCCCACCCCCAUCACCCGAUCUGCACAAUCAGGCUUGGGAGAGUGAAAGGGUUUCACUUCCGCCUGGCUGCAGGAACCACAAGUUCCAGACUAGGUCGGAAUUCCGAAUAAUCACAGUCAAAAUCCACCCAGAUACUCUCACACGCCCAGCCGCGCGCGCAUCCCGGGGCCGCGGGGCACACGUGAGCCCACGCCCCGCGCGCCCGUCCCUGCCUCCUGCCGGAGCAUCCUCGGCUUGGGCGGCAGACGCAGCCGCCGCCGCCUCCUCCUCCUCUCGCCACCGCCUACACCGUCUCCUCUCCCCUCUCGUACUCCUUCCUCCCCCAGUUCCUGCUCCUCCUCCCGUCCGCGGCGGCGAAGGGCAGAACCCUCAGCAGCGGCUGCCUGCGCUUGGGCCGCCAAGAGCCUGGAACAGCAUUACAGGGCCACGGUGAUGGCAAGCUCAGCUUCCUGUAAGGAAGGAUGGAGGUGGAUAGGAGGAGGAAACACGUAAAGGUAACAACAUAAAAAUAAAAAGUAGUAUAAGCACUAGAGCUGAAGGCCAUGAGAACGCUGAGCCAGAAGGAAUGAAUUGUAACACUGGAAAGUCGGGGGAGCCUUCAUGGAGGAGGCGCUAUUUGAGCUGGACGAGAUUUCAGCAGGCAGACCCAACAGAGGCAGAAAGAAGGUUGUUGCCAUAUUUCCAUGAACAAAAAUGUGGAGGCACAAAAACACAGGACACUUUCAGUGAAACCUAUCUUGACAGGUCUAGUAAAGACGAUAUGCUCAGGAGUGAGACUCCCUACUAGCUGCCUGACCUUGGGCAAGGUACUGAACUCCUCUCUCGGCCUCUGUUUUUCCCUACUUGGGAAAUGAAAGUAAUGUAUGUCAUUGGGUUGGGGAAGGGAGUAAAUGAGAUAAUGACAGGAAGUAGCCACCACAGUGGCUGGCACAUAGCAAGCACUCCAAAACAGACAUGACUACUUUGCUUUAUAUAUAGUAGCAAACAAGAUGGUUUGCCCGGACCACUGGAUGUAGGACUGGGAUGGUGGAGGUAAUCUUUGGGACCAGGUCUUGGCAAGGGCUUUAAAUGCCAAACUAAGGAUUUGGGGCUUUUAUUCUGAAGCAGAAGAUUUGUAUAUUUGGAGGAUGAAUUAGAGCAGGAUGAUAGGGGAGUGGGGGAGUUAGGGGCCUAACUCCAUCCAAUAAGGAUGGGGGAAGAAUCAGGUUCAGAGCUGGGAUAUUCGAGUUAGUGUAUGUCUGAACUCCUCUAUUACAUAUCAAAUUGAGUUGAAGUUGGUGGAGCUCAAAAUGUGUAAAUGUAUACAUUAAAUGUAUAUUUUUAAAAUGUAGAGAUGUGUAGGAGAGCCUGGAUGGUGCUGUCAGUUUACAGUACAACUCUUGGUUUCGACUCAGGUCAUGGUCUCAGGAUUGUGGGAUCAAGCCCCAUGUCGGGUUCUGCGCUCAGCAUUGAGUCAGCUUGAGACUCUUUAUCUCUCUCUCUGCCCCUCCUGCUCAUGUGUGCUCGCUUGCUCUCUCUCUCUCUCUCAAAUAAAUCUUUUCCCCCAAAAUGUAUAGAUGUAUAAAAUAUAUAUCUGUAUAUACAUUAUAUUUAAUAUGCAUGUUAAAUAACUAGAAAGUGAAAAUCAGUGGUUGGAGAGAAUAUUGGCCAGUUUGUUUUUUUAUAGUUUUAAUGUGAAAGACAAUCCUUUUGUUAGCUUGGGUUAAACUAUGUGAAACAUCAUAUUCGAUGAAAACAUUUCCCAAAGCUGGCCUUUUUGUAAGAAAACUUGAGAUCUGUGCAAUUCACACAUACUUGAUAAAUUUAAGCACAUUCUGUCUUACUGGCAGGGACAGAAAUUUGCAAUAAGACACAGAGUUCUCUGAUGACAGACGAUCAGAAGCAGCAAUGGCAAGUGCGCAUGGGUCUGAAUUUCAGGACAUUUCUAAUGGUGGUCUGGGUAUUUAGGUAACCUUCAUUUGGACUUUGGUGAUAACCAGAGUCUUCUUUGGUUCCCCCAUCAGGAUGAACUACACUUCAGAAUGUUCUUGAGUCUUGGGCCAGAGGGAAUGAUCUCAUUUGGCACGUUAUUGAGUGCUUGCAAAGAGGAAAGACACUAACCGCUCACAAAUAUUUUGCCAUUGACUAACUGCAAAGAUGCAUCUGUUAAAGCAAUCCAUCUGAGCAGGCUAGUUGCCUCGAAUAUUAAAGAAUUUCAAUACCAGCUAAGAGCAAGUCGAUUUGUCAGACAUUUACAAAGCAGUUUUGAAGCCAAACGAUCUCCUUCCUGCUUUUACCUUUCUUCCAGAAUCUGUUCACCAACACAUAUGAGGGUGGACUUGGCCUCCUUGGUCAGAGCAUUCUCAAAGACAGCUGACAUUCUUGGGCUGCCGGGAGACAGACAUUUGGGUGGGAGGCGGUGCGGGAGUGGUGUGGCCAUGCUGGUUCCAUGCUAGGGAAACAAUUUUGCACCAAGCCAGCUAAAGACCUUCAACUGUUGGUCAGUUCCCUCUCAGGCCUGCCAGGCUUCCCCUUUGCCUGCUCCCUGAUGAAAACAGAACAGACCCACGGAGCAGUUAAAACUGACCAGUUGGAAUGACCCAGAUUCCUUAAGGAAAUGCAAAAGCCCGCUGGCUCAUGGGAUUAGCUUCAGUUUUGCAGUUACUCCGCAUCUGCACAUUACCUUCUUGUCCUCUGCAGCCCCAGCUUGCUCUAGCUGCUCACCUCGGUAGCCGGCUUUCCGAGCCAAGAGAAUCCCAGAACAGUCUCAUUAUGAGAAAGCAAUCGGCCAGCCCUAGAGAAACUCCAUGGCCAGACCAGAGAGAAAGAUAGCUCUCACCUUCAUUGAUUUGCUGUGUCCCUAUUGUUCUUUUCCCACCAUCUGCCCUCACUCCUCUGCAAUCCAAGGCGAUGUAGCCAACUUGUUAGAUGAAGCUGUGCGAACACAGCACAGCACAUAUAUCACUCGAGGCUUCAUUUGUUCUUGAAGAAAAAGAGGCCACACUGAGCAGCUAUUAGGGGACAUAGCAGGAUAGGAAAAUGAAUGUUUUGUUUCCAUUAAAGAAGGUGGCAUCGAGGAGGAUGCCUGGGAAGCUCAGUUGGUUAAGCAGCUGCCUUUGGCUCAGGUCAUGAUCUCAGGGUCAGGAUUGAGCCCCUCUUCGGGCUCCCUGCCCAGAAGAAAGUCUGCUUCUCCCACUCCUCCCUGCUUGUGCUCUCUCGCUAUUUCUGUAUCAGUCUCUUUCUCAAACAAAUAAAUAAAAUCUUAAAAAAAAAAGGAGGUGGCAUCAGAAGCAGCGAGGAAAGGCACAGGCAAACCUCAUAGGUGGUUAGUGAUGUCAGAACUCAUAUUAAAGGAGUAAGCCGCCUAGACAAAUUACACUUAGCGUUUACUGUGC
rnacentral:lncRNA from 1 species